AUCUAGCCAUGGGCAGGUUGAAGGUUGGGUAACACUAACUGGAGGACCGAACCGACUAAUGUUGAAAAAUUAGCGGAUGACUUGUGGCUGGGGGUGAAAGGCCAAUCAAACCGGGAGAUAGCUGGUUCUCCCCGAAAGCUAUUUAGGUAGCGCCUCGUGAAUUCAUCUCCGGGGGUAGAGCACUGUUUCGGCAAGGGGGUCAUCCCGACUUACCAACCCGAUGCAAACUGCGAAUACCGGAGAAUGUUAUCACGGGAGACACACGGCGGGUGCUAACGUCCGUCGUGAAGAGGGAAACAACCCAGACCGCCAGCUAAGGUCCCAAAGUCAUGGUUAAGUGGGAAACGAUGUGGGAAGGCCCAGACAGCCAGGAUGUUGGCUUAGAAGCAGCCAUCAUUUAAAGAAAGCGUAAUAGCUCACUGGUCGAGUCGGCCUGCGCGGAAGAUGUAACGGGGCUAAACCAUGCACCGAAGCUGCGGCAGCGACGCUUAUGCGUUGUUGGGUAGGGGAGCGUUCUGUAAGCCUGUGAAGGUGUGCUGUGAGGCAUGCUGGAGGUAUCAGAAGUGCGAAUGCUGACAUAAGUAACGAUAAAGCGGGUGAAAAGCCCGCUCGCCGGAAGACCAAGGGUUCCUGUCCAACGUUAAUCGGGGCAGGGUGAGUCGACCCCUAAGGCGAGGCCGAAAGGCGUAGUCGAUGGGAAACAGGUUAAUAUUCCUGUACUUGGUGUUACUGCGAAGGGGGGACGGAGAAGGCUAUGUUGGCCGGGCGACGGUUGUCCCGGUUUAAGCGUGUAGGCUGGUUUUCCAGGCAAAUCCGGAAAAUCAAGGCUGAGGCGUGAUGACGAGGCACUACGGUGCUGAAGCAACAAAUGCCCUGCUUCCAGGAAAAGCCUCUAAGCAUCAGGUAACAUCAAAUCGUACCCCAAACCGACACAGGUGGUCAGGUAGAGAAUACCAAGGCGCUUGAGAGAACUCGGGUGAAGGAACUAGGCAAAAUGGUGCCGUAACUUCGGGAGAAGGCACGCUGAUAUGUAGGUGAAGUCCCUCGCGGAUGGAGCUGAAAUCAGUCGAAGAUACCAGCUGGCUGCAACUGUUUAUUAAAAACACAGCACUGUGCAAACACGAAAGUGGACGUAUACGGUGUGACGCCUGCCCGGUGCCGGAAGGUUAAUUGAUGGGGUCAGCGCAAGCGAAGCUCUUGAUCGAAGCCCCGGUAAACGGCGGCCGUAACUAUAACGGUCCUAAGGUAGCGAAAUUCCUUGUCGGGUAAGUUCCGACCUGCACGAAUGGCGUAAUGAUGGCCAGGCUGUCUCCACCCGAGACUCAGUGAAAUUGAACUCGCUGUGAAGAUGCAGUGUACCCGCGGCAAGACGGAAAGACCCCGUGAACCUUUACUAUAGCUUGACACUGAACAUUGAGCCUUGAUGUGUAGGAUAGGUGGGAGGCUUUGAAGUGUGGACGCCAGUCUGCAUGGAGCCGACCUUGAAAUACCACCCUUUAAUGUUUGAUGUUCUAACGUUGACCCGUGAUCCGGGUUGCGGACAGUGUCUGGUGGGUAGUUUGACUGGGGCGGUCUCCUCCUAAAGAGUAACGGAGGAGCACGAAGGUUGGCUAAUCCUGGUCGGACAUCAGGAGGUUAGUGCAAUGGCAUAAGCCAGCUUGACUGCGAGCGUGACGGCGCGAGCAGGUGCGAAAGCAGGUCAUAGUGAUCCGGUGGUUCUGAAUGGAAGGGCCAUCGCUCAACGGAUAAAAGGUACUCCGGGGAUAACAGGCUGAUACCGCCCAAGAGUUCAUAUCGACGGCGGUGUUUGGCACCUCGAUGUCGGCUCAUCACAUCCUGGGGCUGAAGUAGGUCCCAAGGGUAUGGCUGUUCGCCAUUUAAAGUGGUACGCGAGCUGGGUUUAGAACGUCGUGAGACAGUUCGGUCCCUAUCUGCCGUGGGCGCUGGAGAACUGAGGGGGGCUGCUCCUAGUACGAGAGGACCGGAGUGGACGCAUCACUGGUGUUCGGGUUGUCAUGCCAAUGGCACUGCCCGGUAGCUAAAUGCGGAAGAGAUAAGUGCUGAAAGCAUCUAAGCACGAAACUUGCC
rnacentral:rRNA from 1 species